AGGUCAAGCUACAAAGGGCGCAUGGUGAAUGCCUUGGCAUCAGGAGCCGAUGAAGGACGCGAUAAGCUG
rnacentral:rRNA from 1 species